rnacentral:rRNA from 1 species
UACGUAGGGGCCGAGCGUUGUCCGGAGUUAUUGGGCGUAAAGCGCGCGCAGGCGGCUUCGCGCGCCCGACGUGAAAGCCCCCGGCUUAACCGGGGAGAGUCGUUGGGGACGGCGGAGCUUGAGGGCGGGAGAGGUCGGUGGAAUUCCCGGUGUAGUGGUGAAAUGCGUAGAUAUCAAGAGGAACACCAGUGGCGAAGGCGAGUCCCUGGACGAUACCUGACACUGAGGCACGAAAGCUAGGGGAGCAAACAGG